rnacentral:lncRNA from 1 species
CAGGAAACCUCGUUCCAGCACAGAUGGUCCUGACUGACAACCCCAGCCAGCCUUGGGAGCAAUAGUUGAGAUAAAUCUAAAAUUAUAGGGUCUUCCCACAAAGGAUCCUGGAAAGGCAUGGAAAGAGCCUGACUACACUUAAUGGAGAUGCUCCACAGAUGCAAGUUUUUCGCCACAAAAUACAGCUUUGCAAGGUCACUUCUGUUUGCUCACUUUGUGGCAGCCAUUUUUAUUUCUUUAAAUA